rnacentral:pre_miRNA from 1 species
GAUUUUAACUAAAGAAGUCAUCAGCAACAAAGUUGUAUAACUCAUCAAGAUCUUUAACUUUUAUGUUUGUUGUUUCUUCAUCCAAUAAAGUGUUAGUAAUAUUGUUCAUAAAAUUGACAUAUAUUUGUUAUAGUUUAUAAAUUGGAUGAGAGAUAUAUGAAUUUUUUGAACAAUGUUACUAUCACUUUAUCGGAUGAAAAAAACGACCAAAAUCAAAGUUAUAAAUCUUGAUGAGUUAUACAUGUUUGUUGUUGAUAAAUUUUUCAAUUGAAAUC